rnacentral:tRNA from 1 species
GCUCCCAUAGUUUAGCUUGGAUAGAACGUCGGUUUCCUAAACCGAAUAUCGGAGGUUCAAAUCCUCCUGGGAGCA